GUGGUGCUCAGCACAGGAACUAACCACCACCGUUCUGCUCUUGUCCCAGGGUGCCUGGUUAUACUCAGCCUUUGUGGGUUACAGCUGUAUCAUGGUAUUUCUUGUCAUCUCUUUGGUGAAUUGUAACUCCCACCUUAAUCUCUCUUGAGGCAGAUCAGUGGGGUUCAUUUCUCAUGCCAGGAUUUCCCACUCCCAAACCUUGGCCAGAUGGAGGAGGAGGCUGUGAGGAAGAGGAAGAUGCCCCGGAACACCCAGGCAGACAAGGAGCUGAGGACAGAGCCCAGGG